rnacentral:lncRNA from 1 species
GUUAUUAAAAAGUUUCACAAGUUCAUGCGUAAAGAGUAUGAACGGAAGGGAAAGAGGCAAGGAAGACCACCCAAAUGCUAUGGGUGUGGAGAAGUUGGGCACAUCAAACCUAAAUGCCCAAACACAAAGACGGAAAAGAAGACCGUCAAGAAACAAAGAGCCUACAUCUCUUGGGGAGGCGACUCCGGGGAUGAGUCAAGCAACGGAGAUGAAGAUGAGACCGCCAACUUAUGUCUCAUGGCACAUGAGGAAGCAUAAGAAGAGGUAUGUGAAACUUCUCCUAAAGAUCCUUAU